rnacentral:rRNA from 1 species
GUGUAAGUCAUAAUGCAUGUUUUCAAGGAUUCAGGCCAUGGAAGUCUUAGUAUUAAGGCAUUUAUCCGUGAACUGCGAAUGGCUCAUUAAUUCAGUUAUCGGUUAUUUGAUAGUACCUUACUACUUGGAUACCGUGGUAAUCUAGAGCUAAUACAUGCUAAAAACCCUGACUUCGGGAGGGGUUGUAUUUAUUAGAUAAAAAACCAAUGCCCUUCGGGGCUCCUUGGUGAAUCAUAAUAACUUAACGGAUCGCAUGGCCUUGCGCCGGCGACGGUUCAUUCAAAUUUCUGCCCUAUCAACUUUCGAUUGUAGGGUAUUGGCCUACAAUGGUAUCAACGGGUAACGGGGAAUUAGGGUUCGAUUCCGGAGAGGGAGCCUGAGAAACGGCUACCACAUCCAAGGAAGGCAGCAGGCGCGCAAAUUACCCAAUCCCGACACGGGGAGGUAGUGACAAUAAAUACUGAUACAGGGCUCUUUUGGGUCUUGUAAUUGGAAUGAGUACAAUUUAAAUCCCUUAACGAGGAACAAUUGGAGGGCAAGUCUGGUGCCAGCAGCCGCGGUAAUUCCAGCUCCAAUAGCGUAUAUUAAAGUUGUUGCAGUUAAAAAGCUCGUAGUUGAACCUUGGGCCUGGCUGGCCGGUCCGCCUCACCGCGUGCACUGGUCCGGCCGGGCCUUUCCUUCUGGAGAGCCGCAUGCCCUUCACUGGGUGUGUCGGGGAACCAGGACUUUUACUUUGAAAAAAUUAGAGUGUUCAAAGCAGGCCUUUGCUCGAAUACAUUAGCAUGGAAUAAUAGAAUAGGACGUGCGGUUCUAUUUUGUUGGUUUCUAGGACCGCCGUAAUGAUUAAUAGGGAUAGUCGGGGGCAUCAGUAUUCAAUUGUCAGAGGUGAAAUUCUUGGAUUUAUUGAAGACUAACUACUGCGAAAGCAUUUGCCAAGGAUGUUUUCAUUAAUCAGUGAACGAAAGUUAGGGGAUCGAAGACGAUCAGAUACCGUCGUAGUCUUAACCGUAAACUAUGCCGACUAGGGAUCGGGCGAUGUUAUUAUUUUGACUCGCUCGGCACCUUACGAGAAAUCAAAGUUUUUGGUUCUGGGGGGAGUCU